ensembl:lncRNA DPP3-DT DPP3 divergent transcript
CGGAUUGGCCCUGCGGGCUCGGCCUUUUGUCAGCAGGCCGCACACGCGCCGGACCGGGUACCGCUGUGCCCGGCCUGGCCGCGGCCUAGUCCCGGCAGACGGGACUGACGAGGUCACCAAGCCCAGGCCGAGACGGCGCGGGUGUCAGGGACUUGGGAAUCCCCCUCCCCCAGUCCCGAUCCCGCUUUCCUUUGGGGUUUCACCUCAGAGGACCCGACAGCACUCUUGCAGCCGUCUGCCUGUCUUCCUGGCUCGCUCCCUGCAGGAAUGGUCUGGGGCAACCCCAGCAACACGCCCACCUGUGGCCAGGAUGAAUAGGAAUCCAGUUCAGGCUUGGCUUCCAUGGCAAUCAAGGCCCACCAGGCCCCAGCAACCUUCCCUACCCCCCAUUCCUUUUUGCUGCCCCCCUCCACACCAGGCAUGUUCCCUGCCACACCAUGCUGUUCCCCUCACCUGGGCUGCCCUCCCAACUCCUCUCUGCCUCUGGAGAUGCUCUGCCAUUCAAGACUUGGCUCAGGCUCCAGGUCCUCCCUGGGCCUUCUAGAGCCCCUGGUUCUCACUCCUCUGAACACUUCCAGCCUGGCUAAUAGCCCACUGCAUCCUGGCCUGGGGUACAGGUGGCCAGCACAGGUGUGGGGGCCAGCUUCCAACACAAGCACGGGUAGGUCCCUCUGCAGACCAUGGGCUGCAAGAGGCCCGGCCUUGCCCACUGCAGGGGCCCUGCGCAGGGCUGGGCACGAAGCAGGUGGGUGUCCACCAAUCUAGUAUCCAAAACCCUGCUUGGUUCACCCCCACCUCUGUUGAAGGAAAGCAACACUGUGAUGGAGAGGAGCAGCUGUGGAUUCAAAUCCUGGCUUGGCCACUUUCUAGUUGUGUGACUUGGUGCAUCUGCCCUCAUCUCCUCAGAGACAAAAAUGGCAACACCUCCCUUCUUGGGUUACUAUGAGGAUUAAAUAACAAAACCUCCAAGAAGCA